UACGUAGGGUGCAAGCGUUGUUCGGAUUUACUGGGCGUAAAGGGCGCGUAGGCGGCGUGACAAGUCACUUGUGAAAUCUCCGGGCUUAACCCGGAGCGGCCAAGUGAUACUGUCGUGCUAGAGUGCGGAAGGGGCUACUGGAAUUCUCGGUGUAGCGGUGAAAUGCGUAGAUAUCGAGAGGAACACCUGCGGCGAAGGCGGGUAGCUGGGCCGACACUGACGCUGAGGCGCGAAAGCGUGGGGAGCAAACAGG
rnacentral:rRNA from 1 species